rnacentral:tRNA from 1 species
GCGAACUUAGUUCAGUGGUAGAACAUCACCUUGCCAUGGUGGGGGUCGCGGGUUCGAAUCCCGUAGUUCGCU